AACUCCUGACCUCAAGUGAUCUGCCCGCCUCGGCCUCCCAAAGUGCUGGGAUUACAGGCAUGAGUCACCACACCCCACCCAGAUGUCUUUAUUUUUGAGUGGUCUGACUGGACAGACCUCCACAUGUCUCCAAAACAGAGAGCACAUCUCCCUGCCCCUCUCUUUCAGCCCCCAUUGCCCUCACAGGGCAAGGGGCAGGAAGAUCCACUAGAUGUCGCUGAGGCUGCGAGGGCACCGGCGAGCCUGUGGGAGUCCUGCUUGCCUCCCCUGGCCUCCUGGCCUCCUUGGCUCCUGGCAGCAGGACCCAUCAGAUAGCCCUGGCCAAUCAGCCCUCCCCAAUGGAUCUCGGAAGAGCCAAUGAAAAUCAGUGUAUGGGGAGAUUCAAAAAGAAAAGGGAAAAAACAGGUUGCUGAGCAACCCAACUCCGUAAGCAGAGGGAGAUGCUAUUUUUACACCAAGAAGGUGGCUGCAGUUGAUUCUGUAGCAACUCCCAGGAGAGCAGAGCUCUGCCUUAGCCAGGGUAGGAGCUCCUGACAGCCCAGGAAUGAACCACAGGAUGCAGCAUCUGGUAGAGCCCAGCGAGCGCACACAGCUUUGGGUCAUGGGUGCCAAGGCCCCAGGCACCACCCUUUAGGGUUCAGAUUAAAUGUGACUUCUUUAGAAAGGCUUCCACGUUCAGUCAGUCCUUCAGCAUGCCUGUGCUGCUUCUGCAUAGCACUCACCUGAAUGUGUAAUUAUAAGCGUAUUUUUGUGAUUUUUGCAAAACAUCUCUCUGCCCACUAGCCUGGAAGCCAAGGAAGGUAGGCACAGUGACAGUCUCCAUUCACCACUGUACAUCCCAGCCCCUAGCCCAUUCUCUGGCCCAGUGGCUCUCAGUCAAUACUCAGGGAAUAUGUGAAAACAAUGGCUGAAUAUUAGUGUGAUGGUUGUGAUCAUUAUUAAAUGUAAACUUUAGUCAAAGUGUGGGAAAGAGUAUUAUGAUCUCAAUAGUUUUUCUUUAAGUUGCUACCAGAAGUAUCUUUCAACAAUAAAAAUACCUAGAUUCUGGCAAUUACUGAGUGAGGAUCAUCCCCCAAAUUAACCAAUAUGUUUGCAUUGGUACCACAAAAGUUGCUGGUCUCAUUGUUAUGCCACACACUCUUCUGGAUGCUGGGAAAGAUGCACAAAUGAACAAAGGCCCUGUCCCCAUGGAACUCACAUUGAUCCGUGGGAAAAAGACAAAAUCAAAAAGUGAAGGCAAGAGCUGCCAGGAGGCCUCCAUGGGGUCCCCGAAGGCCUUUGGAUCAGAUGACUUUUGAGAAGAGACCCAAAGAAGUGGGGGAAUGAGGCAUGUAGACAUCUGGAGGAAGAACCUUCUGGAAACACAGAGACUCUGAGGCUGCUGUAGGGACAGCAGCAUGUGACCGAGUGAGGAAGGCAGUGCGCUGGGAUGGAGCAGGGAGGAGGCAGCAACCAGGUCCUGGGAGGCCUUCCAGACCUGCCAUGUCACAUGGAGACAAAGAAUGGACAGGAAUGACCUGAGGACUGAGUCUGGGAGUGGGCGCCGUCCAGUGUUUAGGGGUGGAGAGGUUGGGAGGGUCCCAGGGAGGAGAAUGAGAGCAUCCUGAGGUGACACCCUCAGGAUGUGGGAUUCCCAGGAGGUAAGGGACAGCUGUGGCACAAGGCUGAGGGGUGAGGAUUGGAUUUGACCACAUGUUGAUCUCAACAGGAGCUGUUUUGAUGGUGGGAUCACAGCACAGGAGUGACAAGGAAGAGAUCCCCAAUCUCAAGGUUUCUUGCUUUGCUCCAUGCCCCGGAGUGGCCUGUUCAUUUUGGAGUUCCGAUAUGAACUUCGAGACCUAAAGGGUGGUGCCUGGCACCUUGGCACUGUGACUUGAGGCUGUGCUCGCUCACCAGGCUAUACCAGAUUUGAUCAACACAUCUUUUUGGGCUUCACCAAAUCGCUGAAAAACCUGCUACCAUGUCACAGGAGAGACAUAUGAUAUUCCUCCAGAGACGGCUCUCCUUUGGAAAGCACUCUUUGGGAAUGUAGUUCCUAAAUCAGCUGUCAUAUUGAACACCCGGUCAAGACAUAUUUUAUUCUCAGAGCAUUAUUUUGAAACUUCAGUCAUCCAGCAAGUGCUGCAAAUGUGCCACUGGUCCUUGAAGGACAUACCAGGAGGAGCAAUGAGAGGAGACAAGGUGCCCAGGGCCAUGAACACAUCACUUGGUCGGCACCAACAGAGUUCCAGCCACAGAUAAAGAAUCUUCAUUGCCAACUUUGACCUGAGAGCAAUGAACGGGUCAACUAAGCAGCAUGUGUUCAUUACUAACAUGGCACCAUCUUGGAAGCCAAAAGCUAAAAAAAAAAAAAUGGCACGAAUGUUGUUGCAAUUCCAAAUCCUACUUAGGUUCUAUCAACUACCUGGACUGUUUAAUUCCACUCAGAAACCUUUAUUGAACUCCUGCUAUAUAUUUAGGAGGGUCCUGAGCACUUGAGAAUAUAUGAAUAUGUGGGUAUAUGGGAAAGGAAAGGCAUUAGGAACAUGGGAGGGGGCGACCAGAACCCUGGCUGCCUGGCUGUGUAGAUGCAUGAGUGAGAAGUUCAGGCUCCCUCCCAAGCAGACACAUCUGCUUUAAAGGCUAGUGCUGCUGUUUACUGGCGGCGUUUCCUCCGUCAAGUUAAUGAACUUCUCUGAGCCUCAUUCUAGCCAUUAUAGCUAUCUUAAACAAUAUUCACAUUCUGGUUAAAUGUCGACAAUAAGUAGAAGCCUAACUAACAAGACUGAGAACAAAAUGAGAAGCAUGAAAACAGUCUGACUUAGGAGAGUGCCUAACACAUAGUAAGUGGUCAAGACAGCAACCUAGGAAAGCCCAGCAACUAAAUUUAACGUGGACAAAAAAUCGGGCAUUCGCAGGGCGAGUGACAAAAUCUGAAGAGUGACUGUACAGUCAUUAAAAUUGCUGUAGCGAUGCUUAUUUCCUGAUUUUGAUAACUGCACUGUGGUUAUGUAUUAUUUCAGGAGGCUGCGUGGAGCAUACAUGAGAAUGCUUUAUAUAAUGUUUGCAACCCUUUUGUAAAUGUGUACCUAUUUCAAAAUGGAGUUAAAGAGAUGCAAACAUCAACUCCUCUAAUGCAAGUGUCUAUUCCAGCCCAUAAAAGCUUAACUCCUGAAUGGGGAGACAGCAGGUGUGAACAUGAGACCUUCCCAGAACAACUAGAAGAGAAGGUUCUGUGGUGCCAGUGCUCGCAUGGGUCAGAAAGACUGGAGCGAGUAGGAGCUGAGGGAGAUACAGAUCUUCUAGAGCUCCCUUGCUCAAUGCCUCGAUUCCUCUCAAGUUCAUGGUCAGCCUUCCCUUGGACAGAAUGAUUGCCCAAGACCCUUUUGACUUGAUGGAGACAACAGUGCAAUUCCCCAGACUAUUCUUGGGGAGGGUGAGGCAUGACACUCCCAGUACAAGAGGCUGAGAGAAAUGCUCCAGAGUGGGCUGCAGAGCAGCAAAGAUGGUGAUGGGUCAGGGCAGAGGAGGGAGACACAGCCACUCACAGGGGUCAGAGGAGCUAGGAACACAAACAUGGAGCUCUGAGACCUGCAGAAGGGACACCACAGCCGGGAGUCCAAGGAGAGCACAUGCACCUACUCCUUGGGGAGGCUGUCAUACCUCCAGCAUACCAGCUGCCAUGACACCUUCUGGUAAGGACGGACGGUCACAGGGCUCACACACGGUGGCCAGGCUCGGCAUUCCCUUGGCUUUUCUUGCCACUGAGGGCACUGGGCAGAGCAGCCCUGCCACAGUGUGAUGUGGAAGGUCAGUGGAUUCUCUGUGGCCAUCUCCACUUUGGUCAGAGAGUGCUGGGGAGUGAAGAGGGUGGAGUCCAGCCUUCUCUGGAGAGGUCCCUUGUGGACUGUUUUUCAUGACCUCCUCCUGCGUCACCCGAACUCUCACCUCAUGGUCCAGGAAGGUUCCUGCUUUGCACCUUCAACUCCCGUCUCCCUCCAUCACAUUCCAGUGGUACCAAGGAGUUACCACUGGAAUUUUCUUUGGAACUGAAAAUUUCUGUGGACAAAAGUCCAGCAGCUUCUGUUCAGAACAUGUAUAAAUAGUUUUUCCUUCUUCAUUCCCCUCAUGGAUAUUUUGUGCUUGGAUCACGCAGGGUCGGUGGGGGAGAAUCGAGUUUUACUAGGACUUACGAUGAGUGAAUAUUGGCAGCUGCAAAACUUCAUCACAUUAAAAAAAAAAAAGUCCAAGGUGUUUUCUCUGUACAAGCGCAAGAAACCCCAUUCAGAGUCUGUGAUUAUGGGGGUGAUCACGAAGGUUAUUAAUAACCAGGAAUAAGGGUCAUGUCUUUUAUUGCCUAGCAUGGAGAUGAGACACACUAUACCUACAGUUUCAGCUAUGUGACCUCCUAUUAACUAGCCUAGAAUUACAUUACAGAUGCCUUGAAUUUUAGUUCCAUUCAACGAAGAAGAAAGAAAAAUAGGAAGGAACAAGAAUAACAAUAAUGACAACACUGCACUCCCACUGGGAUCCCUUGUUCUAGUCUCCUACAGCAGCUUGGAGUAGGACUGUGACCAGGACCUGCAGCCACCUGGUCCCCUGGUGACAGGGAGAGGCAGCAUGCUCUUGAGGUCAGGUUGUAGCCAGUGUUUCAGGCUGGACAGGGGCCCCAUCAGAGACCCCUGGUGAGGUUACCUUGAGGUUUCCGGGACUCCAAGGGACUGGUUCUCCCUGGCUGAACCUGGGAGGCUGGGAGAUCUGACUCUGUAGCAGCAACCGCUUGGGGACAACUGGGGACAACUCACCCCCAAAUGCAGGGAAAUGGGAACAGGGUUGAGUGACAAAGAACACCUGGGCCCUGGUGACACCUGAGCCUCAGACCUAUCCACUCCUGAAGCUUAUCAGUUACAUGAACUUGACCUUUACGUGAGCCAGCACAUCCCAAAUGAGAUGUGACACAACUGAAAGCUACUUUCCAGAUGUUUGGAAAGACCCUUUGAAACAUCUCCAACACUGGACAGAAAUUCUAACACUUUAAGGAACGCAAUGGGUGACAACGUGAUCAGAAUGCACAGAGGGCUCAAAAUCGUCUCUACGGGCUUCAACCACCAGUCUCACAAAAUGUUUAAUAUCUUUCUGUUUUAAAAAGGCAGCCUACUAGGUUGUAAGGUUGUGGGAAAAAUCAUUUGUUAUCUUGUAGAAUUUGAGAGAGUGGAGACCAACCCAGAAAGGGGAUAAUGAGAAAACCUAAAAUGCUGCUCAGACUUGUCCUGUGUUGGAACCACAGUAGAGAUCGCUUUAGUAAUACAGAAAUUACGGCCUUUGUUUCUUUUGUAACUUGAAAGUUAGAACAGCUCCUCAUUUACAGAAGGAGCUCUGUAUAAAGUGAUAGAGACCUAAUGGCCUUAUAUGGCCACCCAUACCUGUAUCUGUUCCUUUAACUCUCUCACCGGGAGCAUAUUCUGUUCUUCACCUUUCUAACUCUGUAAUUUCUCAUUGAAAAGCAGGAACGUCUUCGGGCCUACCCAGGACCCACUGAGAAACAGGGGCACAAUGGGGGCUUUCCCUACCUGCCUAGAGGAAGAAGAAUGACUUGUAACUCUGGCAGUAACAUUUUUGCCAUAAGCAGAGGGUCAGUGGGUGCUGACAAACUCAACAGUUUCUAAUGAGGUCCACACAUACUCAGGAGGAUAAAAAAUUGAGGAUUUAAGGCAUGAGUUAAACAAUUAAAGCCACUGUCGCAGA